UAUGUACUCCCUCUGUCCAGAAAUACUUGUCCUAAAAAUGAAAAAAAAUGGAUGUAUCUAUAACUAUAAUAAGUUUAGAUACAACCAUUUCGAGAACAAAUAUUUCCGGACGAAGAGAGUAUUAC
rfam:Triticum aestivum genome assembly, contig: Triticum_aestivum_CS42_TGACv1_scaffold_376408_5AL